CACUAUUUGAUGCGACUGUGACCCGCCUGCCGGAAGCCGGGUGACUGACCAUGGCGACGGUGGCGGAGCAGUGGGUGCUGGUGGAGAUGGUGCAGGCGCUGUACGAGGCUCCAGCAUACCAUCUCAUUCUGGAAGGAAUUCUAAUACUUUGGAUAAUCAGACUGGUUUUCUCUAAAACCUACAAGUUGCAGGAGCGUUCUGACCUUACAGCUAAGGAAAAGGAAGAACUGAUUGAAGAGUGGCAGCCAGAACUUCUCGUCCCUCCUGUCUCAAAAAAUCAUCCUGCUCUCAACUACAACAUCGUUUCCGGCCCUCCAACCCACAACAUCGUGGUCAAUGGAAAAGAAUGUGUAAACUUUGCGUCCUUUAAUUUUCUUGGGUUGCUGGCCAACCCUCGGGUUAAGGCCGCAGCUUUAGCAUCUUUAAAGAAGUACGGCGUGGGUACCUGUGGACCACGAGGAUUUUAUGGCACGUUUGGCCAGAAGAGGGCACCAGACCUCAUUACAGAUGGUUGUGAGCCACCAUGUGGUUGCCGGUAAUUGAACUCAGGACCUUUGGAAGAGCAGGCAAUGCUCUUAACCACUGAGCCAUCUCUCCAGCCCCUUAGGAAGCAUUCUUAACCCUCAAGCUGAAGCAACCAGAAGAGAAAGUCUUAUAUCCAUGACUCCAUAUGCCAGACGCCUGCUUUCUGGAGGCACUCACAGAGACUGAAGGAGGAAGUUUGUGGAUGCUCAGUGUACAGUGAAUUCUGAGACAGCACCCAGGGAUCCAAGAAAACUAGCAUCUGUACCCAGCCAGAACAGUAGAACGAAAACAAGUGGGAUGUUCCAGUACGUUCUUGGAAUGACAGCACCACACCCAGUGUAACGUGCUGUGCUGGUUAGUGUUUUGUCAGACUGAUGCAAGGCAUCUGGGAAGAGGAACCUCAGCUGAGAAGAUGCCUCCAUCCGAUUGCCCUGUAGGCAAGUCUGGGGACAUUUUCCUAAUUAAUGAUAGAUGUAGGAGGGCUCAGACCACUGUGGGCUGGGCCAUCUCUGGGAAGGUGGUUUGCAUGAAAGGAAGGCCGAGCUAGCAAUGAAGGACAAGGCAGUCAGCAGCAUUCCUCUCAAGCCCGUGCUUCGAUUUCUGCCUCCAGUUUCCUGUCUUGAGCUCCUGCCCUGACUUCCCUGCAUAAUGAAAUAUAAUCCAUAAGAUGGAAUAAACCCUUUCCUCCCCAAGAUGCCUUUGUUCACGGUGUUUAUCACGGGAAUAGAAAGGUGACUAA